UACGAAGGGGGCUAGCGUUGUUCGGAAUUACUGGGCGUAAAGCGCACGUAGGCGGAAUGUUAAGUCAGAGGUGAAAUCCCGGGGCUCAACCCCGGAACUGCCUUUGAUACUGGCAUUCUCGAGUCCGGAAGAGGUGAGUGGAAUUCCGAGUGUAGAGGUGAAAUUCGUAGAUAUUCGGAGGAACACCAGUGGCGAAGGCGGCUCACUGGUCCGGUACUGACGCUGAGGUGCGAAAGCGUGGGGAGCAAACAGG
rnacentral:rRNA from 1 species